rnacentral:rRNA from 1 species
UAUCAAUAAGCGGAGGAAAAGAAACCAACAGGGAUUGCCCCAGUAACGGCGAGUGAAGCGGCAACAGCUCAAAUUUGAAAUCUGGCGCAAGCCCGAGUUGUAAUUUGUAGAGGAUGCUUCUGGGUAGCGGCCGGUCUAAGUUCCUUGGAACAGGACGUCACAGAGGGUGAGAAUCCCGUAUGUGAUCGGCCCGCGCCCUCUACGUAGCUCCUUCGACGAGUCGAGUUGUUUGGGAAUGCAGCUCUAAAUGGGAGGUAAAUUUCUUCUAAAGCUAAAUACCGGCCAGAGACCGAUAGCGCACAAGUAGAGUGAUCGAAAGAUGAAAAGCACUUUGGAAAGAGAGUUAAACAGCACGUGAAAUUGUUGAAAGGGAAGCGCUUGCAACCAGACUUGUCCGCGGUGUUCCGCCGGUCUUCUGACCGGUCUACUCGCCGCGGGCAGGCCAUCAUCGUCUGGGGCCGCCGGAGAAACCGUCAGGAAUGUAGCUCCCUCGGGAGUGUUAUAGCCUGGCGACAUGCGGCGCGCCCCGGGCGAGGUCCGCGCACUGCAAGGAUGAUGGCGUAAUGGUUGUCAGCGGCCCGUCUUGAAACACGGACCAAGGAGUCUAACAUCUAUGCGAGUGUUCGGGUGUCAAACCCCUGCGCGUAAUGAAAGUGAACGGAGGUGGGAGCUUCGGCGCACCAUCGACCGAUCCUGAUGUCCUCGGAUGGAUUUGAGUAAGAGCAUAGCUGUUGGGACCCGAAAGAUGGUGAACUAUGCCUGAAUAGGGUGAAGCCAGAGGAAACUCUGGUGGAGGCUCGCAGCGGUUCUGACGUGCAAAUCGAUCGUCAAAUUU